rnacentral:ncRNA from 22 species
GUUCGACAGUGCGACUAAUACAAUACCGAAAGGGAAUAAGUCCGCUGGAUUCUUGACCAGUUUUGAGCUGUCGAACGCCCGAUU